rnacentral:ncRNA from 1 species
CUACGGACUUAAUUGGAUUGAGCCUUGGUAUGGAAACUUACUAAGUGAUCACUUUCAAAUUCAGAGAAACCCUGGAAUGAACAAAAAUGGGCAAUCCUGAGCCAAAUCCUAUUUUCUGAAAACAAAUAAAGGUUUAGAAAAAAAGGAUAGGUGCAACGACUCAAUGAAAGCUAUUCUAACAAAUGGAGUUAAAUGUGUUGGUAGAGGAAUCUUUACAUCGAAACUUCAGAAAGAAAAAGAAUGUAGUGAAGGAUAAACGUAUAUACAUACGUAUUGAAUACUAUAUCCAAUGAUUAAUGACGACCCGAAUCCCUGAUCAAAUUAUUCACUCUAUAGUCUGAUAGAUCUUUUGAAGAACUGAUUAAUCGGACCAGAAUAAAGAUAGAGUCCCGUUCUACAUGUCAAUACCGG